rnacentral:tRNA from 1 species
AAGGCUUUAGCUUAAUUAAAGUAUCUGCCUUGCACGCAGAAGAUGUGGGGUAAUGUCCUGCAAGUCUUA